CGGACGGGUGAGUAAUGUCUGGGAAACUGCCUGAUGGAGGGGGAUAACUACUGGAAACGGCAGCUAAUACCGCAUAAUGUCGCAAGACCAAAGAGGGGGACCUUCGGGCCUCUUGCCAUCGGAUGUGCCCAGAUGGGAUUAGUUUGUUGGUGGGGUAACGGCUCACCAAGGCGACGAUCCCUAGCUGGUCUGAGAGGAUGACCAGCCACACUGGAACUGAGACACGGUCCAG
rnacentral:rRNA from 1 species